UAAAAUGAACUAUUAGAACUUUACAGAAAGAAGGGACUGUGACAAGGCUCCUGCUGACGUCAAUUUUUAAAGGCCAUGACCCCUAUCUCCUGCUUUCAAGCAAUGGAAAAAUAACCCAUUCAUGAUAUGCAGCUUCAUACGCAGUUGAAUUCUGUGAUUGGAAGAGUCUUCAGGUUGAUUAAUUUUACCCUCAUUUCUUUGAAAUCCAGUCAUUUAUGCCGAAUGUAUGAUUAUAGACAAAUGACAAUAUUUUCCCAAAUUGUCUUAGGUUUCUCGACCUGUUUUUGUUUUUGUUUUUUUUCAAGAUGGCUCGGGUUUUUUGUCCCAGGCUGCGUCCUCUGCUGCCAUCUCGUGGCCUUUUUGCUGCCCAGGUCGAAGUCUCACGAAGCGCUUUCCUUCAAGGUAAUGGCGUUUAGUGGUGAUUUAGUUGGGCAAAGAAUCUUUGCACCCUCUGGGGCCUCAGCAAAUUCUUCCCCUACAGUGGGUCCGCAGAGAGCUGCGACGCCCGCGCGGCCCGGGGGUGGACCCUGGGCAUAGCGCAGGGUCGGGAGGCGCAGGUUCCCUUCUAGUCAUCUGUGCCCUCAUGGGCCUCUGGGACUGUUAUGCAAUCCUGGCCAGGAGCCCGAAAAAUCAGUGAACUCAACUGCCCAGCAGUAAUCGGAGCUGACCUCGCCAGCUUGGCCUUAUGACUGCUCGGCAGCCUCUUGUCACUGGCCACCUGAGGCUAGGAUGCUGUUCAGUUCAGUGAGAAGUGAAGACACCCCCCAUCGGGUUUCCGGAUUCUAUUUUCAUGUGUAGGCGGGGUUAGUGUUCUCUAGGUCUAUGCGCUUUCUCUUGGUGGGCCUAACUGAUGCUGCCUCAAAUUCGACAAUGAACUGGUGGACCGAGCAGGACAGUGGCAGUGCUGCAGUCACUACUUCAAUACGAUGGGAUCUGUGCUCUAGGGAUCGGAGGUCCAUCUCCAGUGGACAGGGAAUCUAGGAACUGCCUUGAGCUGGAACGCUUGCAACUGAGCAGUGACUCAGCACAGAAGGAAAGGCAGGAAAACGUUUUUAGUUUGUGCUUGGUUUUUGUUUGUUUCCGUUUUAUAAUAAUGCCUACCUCUUAUAUGUAUACAGCUUACAAUCUUCCAGUUGCUAACAAGAGCUUGUUGUAGAACCAUGGCCUCCCCUGAAUACAUCCUUGCCUUGUAAUAACACCCAUAAUAACACCUAACCUAAGAGGAAGGAAGGAGGAAGGGGCCUGACUACCUUGAUUAUCUUAGCCUGCAUUCCCCUUUAUAAUAAUUCAGCGGGAAGGACCUGCUUAUACAAUUUGCUAGGUCAGGAACAGCCAUACUUGGAGGUAGAUUACUACUAAUGUGGCGUGUGCUACUUUGUAAAAAUCAAAUAAAUGCCAGCUGACAUGGUGGCUCAUGCCUGUAAUCCCAGCUGUUGCAGGAGCCUGAGGCAGGAGGAUUGCAA
rnacentral:lncRNA from 1 species